rnacentral:lncRNA from 1 species
UGUAUUUUUAAAUGGUUUUUGCUGGAUUUCGUAAACUGGAAUAGACGGUUAUAACAAUUAAUAUAGUAGUAAUCAGGCGCUUUCCGAGAUGUCUCUUCGCCUUCCUCGUGUCGCCUACCAGCUCGUGGAGUUCCAGCUUGGCUACCUUUACGAGCCCAAAGACGCCUCCGGAACUACGUUUUCCACAAUGCAUCGCGAGCCCUGUAUAUUUUUAGGGCUGAUCCUAUACCGCGAGAGGUCGCGCCGUUUUCACGAAAGGAAACGAGUGAGAAGCGAGUGGUCGGCUUGUUCGUUCACACCUGCUUAAAAGAAGUAUCCGAAAGUAUCCCAUUUCAUUUGUGUUUGUAAACUUGUUCUGACUAGUUUACAUGAAACGUCGGUGCUAUGUAGAUACGGAAAAAAAUAUUCGGCCCACGGAGGCCACCCCCGAUCACGUGGCCCUCAAAAAGGACCGUUGUGGCUCCCGCUCGUCGCGAGACUUGGCGUGUUGUUUCGCCUCGUGGCGAAGAGACCCGGGCGCGGGUGCGCGCGCGAUUCGUUUAGAACCGGCUGCGAUUGAGGGCACUCAAAGCACGAUCGGACAGGCCUCGACUUGCCAGCAGCAGCUUCCCGCCUUGCAAAUGAAGCCGGAGCUCAAAUGA